rnacentral:rRNA from 1 species
GAUGAACGCUGGCGGCGUGCCUAAUACAUGCAAGUCGAGCGAACAGACGAGGAGCUUGCUCCUCUGACGUCAGCGGCGGACGGGUGAGUAACACGUGGAUAACCUACCUAUAAGACUGGGAUAACUUCGGGAAACCGGAGCUAAUACCGGAUAACAUGUUGAACCGCAUGGUUCAACAGUGAAAGACGGUCUUGCUGUCACUUAUAGAUGGAUCCGCGCCGCAUUAGCUAGUUGGUAAGGUAACGGCUUACCAAGGCAACGAUGCGUAGCCGACCUGAGAGGGUGAUCGGCCACACUGGAACUGAGACACGGUCCAGACUCCUACGGGAGGCAGCAGUAGGGAAUCUUCCGCAAUGGGCGAAAGCCUGACGGAGCAACGCCGCGUGAGUGAUGAAGGUCUUCGGAUCGUAAAACUCUGUUAUUAGGGAAGAACAAAUGUGUAAGUAACUAUGCACGUCUUGACGGUACCUAAUCAGAAAGCCACGGCUAACUACGUG